rnacentral:rRNA from 1 species
UACGGGGGGGGCAAGCGUUGUUCGGAAUUACUGGGCGUAAAGGGCUCGUAGGCGGCCAACUAAGUCAGACGUGAAAUCCCUCGGCUUAACCGGGGAACUGCGUCUGAUACUGGAUGGCUUGAAUCCGGGAGAGGGAUGCGGAAUUCCAGGUGUAGCGGUGAAAUGCGUAGAUAUCUGGAGGAACACCGGUGGCGAAGGCGGCAUCCUGGACCGGGAUUGACGCUGAGGAGCGAAAGCCAGGGGAGCAAACGGG